AGAGUUGAUCAUGGCUCAGGACAAACGCUGGCGGCGUGCCUAACGACAUGCAAGUCGAGCGCGAAAGGGACCUUGGGUACCCCCUGAGAGCGGCGAACGGGUGAGUAACACGUGGGCAACCUGCCUCAAGGACUGGGAUAACGUCGGGAAACCGGCGCUAAUACCGGGCGAUGUAGUCUCGCGCAAGCGAGCCUACCAAAUGGUAGCUUCGGCCUCCGCCUUGAGAUGGGCCCGCGUCCUAUCGAGCUUGUUGGUGAGGUAAUGGCUCACCAAGGCUACGACGGGUAGCUGGUCUGAGAGGAUGAUCAGCCACACUGGGACUGAGAUACGGCCCAGACUCCUACGGGAGGCAGCAGUGGGGAAUCUUGCGCAAUGGGCGAAAGCCUGACGCAGACCAACGCCGCGUGAGCGAAGAAGGCCUUCGGGUUGUAAAGCUCUGUCAGGGGAAAGAAGGCACCUGGGUUAAUAGCCCAAGGGCUGACGGUACCCCCAAAGGAAGCCACGGCUAACUACGUGCCAGCCGCCGC
rnacentral:rRNA from 1 species